rnacentral:snRNA from 1 species
AGUGGCGCGAAGCUACCGUGCG